AACGAACGCUGGCGGCAUGCCUAACACAUGCAAGUCGAACGAGACCUUCGGGUCUAGUGGCGCACGGGUGCGUAACGCGUGGGAACCUGCCCUUAGGUUCGGAAUAACUCCCCGACAGGGGUGCUAAUACCGGAUAAUGUCUUCGGACCAAAGAUUUAUCGCCUUUGGAUGGGCCCGCGUUGGAUUAGCUAGUUGGUAGGGUAAAAGCCUACCAAGGCGACGAUCCAUAGCUGGUCUGAGAGGAUGAUCAGCCACACUGGGACUGAGACACGGCCCAGACUCCUACGGGAGGCAGCAGUGGGGAAUAGUGGACAAUGGGCGAAAGCCUGAUCCAGCAAUGCCGCGUGAGUGAUGAAGGCCGUAGGGUUGUAAAGCUCUUUUACCCGGGAUGAUAAUGACAGUACCGGGAGAAUAAGCGCCGGCUAACUACGUG
rnacentral:rRNA from 1 species